CUGUAUCGACAUACCGUAGGAUAAGAACAGAAUGUCGUCAAUUUUCACAUUAACGCUCCUGCUGAUUUUGUGUAACCUCUCGUUUGAAAAUGGCAAGAAAAUCACGGUUUGGAUUAAUGGAAAAGCCAUACAUUUAGAUUUGACCAAAAGGAAAGCUGGAUAUGGCUUAAAGGAUGCUACUGAAAUAAGCGAUAAUUCUACCACAGUCUACCUUGCAGAAUCGUUGUGCAGGUCUUGUGAUAAACUUGCAGGAGAAGUCCGAAAAAGUAGAUGUAGGAAGAAGCUGUGUGAGGAUGACGAGUUGGAAAAUGUUGAAAUGAAAAUAGAAAUAUAGUUGAAAUGAAACUAACUGUAUACAUGUGGACAUUUUUAUGACUUGAGAAAAUUUAACGUAAUAGUUUUUUUGUUAAAUUAGAUUUCUCUUGUGAAUCAAUUGCGAUCAGCUUUAAAUAUCGACGGGCAGUUUUUGUCUUUUAAAAAGGUUUUUCGUAUCACAGUUUAUACAAAAAAAAAUCAAUACACUUAAAUUAAUUUGAAUUAUAAAUGAAAUAAAAGAACUAUGAUUUAAUUCUACAAGUGGCAAUCCAACUUAUACCCAUAGCUCCCUUUCUAAGGAGGAAAUUCUUCAAAAAAGGUUUUUCGUAUCACAGUUUAUACAAAAAAAUUCAAUACACUUAAAUUAAUUUGAAUUAUAAAUGAAAUAAAAGAACUAUGAUUUAAUUCUACAAGUGGCAAUCCAACUUAUACCCAUAGCUCCCUUUCUAAGGAGGAAAUUCUUCAAAAAAGGUUUUUCGUAUCACAGUUUAUACAAAAAAAUUCAAUACACAUAAAUUAAUUUGAAUUAUAAAUAAAAUAAAAGAACUAUGAUUUAAUUCUACAAGUGGUAAUCCAACUUAUACCCAUAGCUCCCUUUCUAAGGAGGAAAUUCUUCAAAAUCAUAUUUUUAAUAUUCCCAACAACGAAAAUUAAUUUGAAUUAGAACAUUUAUAUUGGAUUCCGAAACUUCAUUUUAAAAAAACUUUACAAGCAAAGAUACAAAGCAGGUUCCAGUAAAUGUUCUACCAAGCGUCUUUAUUUACUCCUCACUAAAAUAUUAAGAGCAGUGAAGGAGAAACUUCAGGACUACUGUGCAACAAUAUAUUCGAGAAGUGGUGUAAAUCAGAUAUGGAUACUUAAAAAUUCCAAGGAACUUUUGGAAAAUUUGAAAUCACCAAAUUUUACCGAAAUCAAUAACAUAAAAACUUACGAUUUUCUACUCUCUAUAUAACCAAUGAUAAAUAAAAGUCCAGGCUUUUUGACAUCACUGACGACUGCUUUUUCAAUAAAUUUGGAACUCGUAAAUUUA